GUUGGAUUAAUAAAAAAAUCAUUCGGAUUCCCAAUGAUUAAUUUUCUAUUUUGAUAUUCCAACCAGUUACUUCUCACCUUU